GCCAAUCACAGCAGAGCAGAACAGCUGAACGCAACACACCUUUCUAAUUAGUAAGACGCGAAAAACUCGGCGUGCUCUGCAGCAGGUGCAUCACGAUUGGCCGUGCCCAAAAAGAAGUGAAUGCAGUGCGUGUGGUGUUUCCUCAUGUCAGGAUGUUGCUGUGCUGGUGUCCGGUGUCACAGCCUGAAGUAUCAGUUCCUGAGAGUCUAUGCCAACAAAAGAAUAGAAGAUCUCCACAAACUUCUCCUGGGAACAUUGCUACAGAGGCUGACUAUUGCUACUACUACACACAACUAUAAUAUCAGUGUUGCUCCCAGGACCUGUGACUGCACAAAUCCCUCUGGAGUGAUGUUGGACAAACUCUGCCAUUUGCAAAAUUCAAAGUUGAAGAACAGGAAACAAGUGCAGACUGCAACAAAUGAUCAACUGAAAAACAUCCUGUGCAGCAACACCGUGCUAAACUUACCUGUAAGAUGGUAAUGCUUAGAGUCAGGUAUUCAUUCUGAUGCUUUGUAAGUGCAAUAACAUUAAUGGAAUUAGGAAAGAAAAGAACCACACAUUACUUAGAACAGCUUUAUUAUUUAAAUAAAGUACAUAAGACAUUAUUUUACA
rnacentral:lncRNA from 1 species